GACGAACGCUGGCGGCGUGCUUAACACAUGCAAGUCGAACGGAAAGGCCUCUUUCGGGGGGUACUCGAGUGGCGAACGGGUGAGUAACACGUGAGUAACCUGCCCUUGACUUUGGGAUAACUUCAGGAAACUGGGGCUAAUACCGGAUAGGAGCUCCUGCUGCAUGGUGGGGGUUGGAAAGUUUCGGCGGUUGGGGAUGGACUCGCGGCUUAUCAGCUUGUUGGUGGGGUAGUGGCUUACCAAGGCUUUGACGGGUAGCCGGCCUGAGAGGGUGACCGGCCACAAUGGGACCGAGAUACGGCCCAGACUCCUACGGGAGGCAGCAGGGGGGAAUAUUGCACAAUGGGUGGAAGCCUGAUGCAGCAACGCCGUGUGCGGGAUGACGGCCUUCGGGUUGGAAACCGCUUUCGCUCAUGACGAAGCUUUGUGUGACGGUAGUGGGUAAAGAAGCACCGGCUAACUACGUG
rnacentral:rRNA from 1 species